rnacentral:misc_RNA from 1 species
UCUGCGGGUUAGUUGUGAGGUGCACGCACAUGUCGUAUUCUCUGCUUCCUCUAACUCUAUUUGUGAUCACGGAGCACGGCAUUGUUGAAGUCUUAUCUGACCCGGCUCCCAACUUCCCGGCAGAUGAAGUGCAACAUACUACUACGUGUUCUCUAGAGUGUGUCGUCGCUACUUACACACACGAGGUCAGCAGUGGGCGGCAAACCAUUGAAACUUGAGCCCGUGGAGCCCAGGUACAUGGUGUAGGCAGCGCACCACGGCGGUCUGCUGGGCGUGGCGAACAUGACCCUGGACGAGGUCAAGUUAUGCGAGCUGCAUAAACACGGACAAACGGACGCAAACCCAAUCAAGAGGCUGAGAGGAUGCUGGCAGAGAGAGAGAGACACAACAUUUGCAUCACCGGCAGACGUGAUU